CCCUUAGAUGUUCUGGGCCGCACGCGUGCUACACUGAACGGUUCAAUGGGUAAGGUAGUGCGAAAGCAUGACCUAAUCUCGAAAUCCGUUCGUGCUGGGGAUAGAAGCUUGCAAUUAUCCUUCUUGGACGAGGAAUACCUUGUAAGCGUGAGUCAUCAUCUCACGCUGAAUACGUCCCUGCCCUUUGUACACACCGCCCGUCGCUCCUACCGAUUGAGUGUUCCGGUGAGGCUUUGGGAGAAUGGCCUCAACAUGAGUUUAUCGUGUUUUGCCGUUUGAACUUAGUCAAACCUUAUCACUUAGAGGAAGGAGAAGUCGUAACA
rnacentral:rRNA from 1 species